rnacentral:rRNA from 1 species
GACGGAAGGUGCAAGCGUUGCUCGGAAUCACUGGGCGUAAAGGGUGCGUAGGCGGCGGGGCAAGUCGGAUGUGAAAUCUCAGGGCUCAACCCUGAAACUGCAUUCGAUACUGCCUUGCUCGAGGACUGGAGAGGAGAUUGGAAUUCACGGUGUAGCAGUGAAAUGCGUAGAUAUCGUGAGGAAGACCAGUGGCGAAGGCGGAUCUCUGGACAGUUCCUGACGCUGAGGCACGAAGGCCAGGGGAGCAAACGGG